rnacentral:rRNA from 1 species
GAUGAACGCUGGCGGCGUGCCUAAUACAUGCAAGUCGAGCGAACAGAUAAGGAGCUUGCUCCUUUGACGUUAGCGGCGGACGGGUGAGUAACACGUGGGUAACCUACCUAUAAGACUGGGAUAACUUCGGGAAACCGGAGCUAAUACCGGAUAACAUUUGGAACCGCAUGGUUCUAAAGUGAAAGAUGGUUUUGCUAUAACUUAUAGAUGGACCCGCGCCGUAUUAGCUAGUUGGUAAGGUAACGGCUUACCAAGGCGACGAUACGUAGCCGACCUGAGAGGGUGAUCGGCCACACUGGAACUGAGACACGGUCCAGACUCCUACGGGAGGCAGCAGUAGGGAAUCUUCCGCAAUGGGCGAAAGCCUGACGGAGCAACGCCGCGUGAGUGAUGAAGGGUUUCGGCUCGUAAAACUCUGUUAUUAGGGAAGAACAAACGUGUAAGUAACUGUGCACGUCUUGACGGUACCUAAUCAGAAAGCCACGGCUAACUACGUG